CCUACGGGGGGCAGCAGUGGGGAAUAUUGGACAAUGGGCGAAAGCCUGAUCCAGCCAUGCCGCGUGUGUGAAGAAGGCCUUCGGGUUGUAAAGCACUUUCAGUGGGGAAGAAAGCCUUGGGGCUAAUACCCUCGAGGAAGGACAUCACCCACAGAAGAAGCACCGGCUAACUCCGUGCCAGCAGCCGCGGUAAUACGGAGGGUGCGAGCGUUAAUCGGAAUUACUGGGCGUAAAGCGCGCGUAGGCGGUCUGAUAAGCCGGUUGUGAAAGCCCCGGGCUCAACCUGGGAACGGCAUCCGGAACUGUCAGGCUAGAGUGCAGGAGAGGAAGGUAGAAUUCCCGGUGUAGCGGUGAAAUGCGUAGAGAUCGGGAGGAAUACCAGUGGCGAAGGCGGCCUUCUGGACUGACACUGACGCUGAGGUGCGAAAGCGUGGGUAGCAAACAGGAUUACAUACCCCGGUAGUC
rnacentral:rRNA from 1 species